CCGCCGCCGCGGACACAAGGAGGAAGCCUCCUCGCUGCUCUUUCCGGAUUGCAACGACCAUGCUGCAGGGACGACGCUCCGCCUCCGCCGCAACAUGUAGAUCAAUAUUGGAGCACAGGUUAGGUUCAGGCCGUGGUACGAGCAGAUGUACGACAGGGUGAGGAUGAGCAGCAGGGAGUUCCGGUGGAGCACGUUCUGGAUGGGCGACGUCAUGAGUUUCUGACUCGAAAAGAAUCAUGGAGCGGCGGGCGCCAUCUACGGCAACCAAGUCGGCGUCAAUCUGGUUCGAAUUGCAAUGCAAAACGUUUACAUUUUCUCUCUUGUGUUCACUAAUUCUAGCAUAUGGUUCAAAUCAAUACCGAUAAGAGGUAAUAGCAAAAUUCGCUUUAAUUUAUGCACGCUACAAAACAUAAGUAAAUUACUUAUGACGAAUAGUUAUUCACUGGAUUUUAGCAUGUACUUUAUGACCAAUGAAAUACAUUUAAGUUUCAACUAAUUUUGUUUGAACCUUGUGAGUUCAAUCUUAUAUGGUUUAUGAAACUAAGGCUAGAUUUGCUCUGCUCUGUUGUUUUUUGCUUUUGAUAUUGCCUUUUUCUUGAUCUCUAAACUGAUUAGUUGCGAGCCAUGUAGAAUCAACCGGUGCCAUGUUCAAUUUUGUAGCAUAUUUUCCAUUCUCAAGUUUUUUUGAGAGCUAUCUACCUGUAAAUACAUGCCAUAAUGAACAUGGAAAAUAAAAUAGAAGAAGCCAUUAGUCAUGUUGUAUGUUGAUGUCACGCGCACUCUAAUUAUAUAUCAGUUGUCUAUCCAUUCCUGCUGCUGCUUCGUCGCAUUUAACCAUUGCAAAUCUAUGCGCCCAGAUUUGUACGACAACUGUUUGAUAUUUGUUUGCAUUCAUCAUCGUAUAUCUACCUUUCACUAAACGUUCCCUAUAUACAUACUCUCACAUAUGUGUAUUUGUUUGUAAAUGAAGUGCCAUCUACUGAAUAUUUGGUACUUCAAACAAAUUUGAAAGCAUGAGCCAUCGAGAACUCCCAAACAUGCCUCCUCAUUGUUUAACUAAUUACUUAAAUUUUCUCAGCCUUCAAAUGAUAUGGAUGCUUGGAGGUGCGAAAUUCGUCUCGGCAAUGGAAAUACGAUCAUACAUUGGAUAAGGGGAUGUCUUGCCGGUUCCUAUUUGAAAGACGGCGGUCCGUAAAGAAAGCUAGGCUCCCUUUGGUUCUUUAAUGCAAGGCCCUGGGAGUGGAAUCCAUAGUACAUUGAGAAUAGGCAAGCAAAGAAAAGAAGAUCCAAAACAUAUGUCACCUUAGCCUCACAGGCAUGCAAGCUACUUUUCUGAUCCUCGCUGGAAGAUAAGUGGAUAACAAUGACAGAUCACCACAAGAUGAAUUACCUCUUUCACCUUUCAUGUUUGGAAUUCACCUUUGUCACUAGACUGGCUGCUAUUGAAGUUCUACUACCUUGACAGUAAAAUGAGACCCUCGAAAAUCAUGAAAUUGAUAGAAAUAUGAUGAGGAUUAUUUCAAGGUAUAUCCCCCCUUUUGCCAUAUUUUCUUGACACUGGUAAUUUCAUCAUGUUUAGAGGUUAAUGAUAGUUUUCCCAAUGAAGGGGAUUUUGCAAUAAGUGCUAAUGCUGGUAAAAUUAGGCAACCACUGCAAUUUGUAUAAUUCAUGAUCAGUUUAAAAUUUCACUUGUGUGUCAUUGCCUGUGGAGAUCUAUUACUUCUUUUGCCCUCGACCGUAUCUUUCAAACUUACAGAAUUAUUAGCUAUCAUGUGCUCAAGAUUUCACAAUACUAAGUUUGUUAAGUACUACUACCUCUGGACGUUUUUAAUCGACGCGGUCCGUAUCAUAUUUCUGAAAGGUGAUAGCCUAAAACGAUAUUCACCCGUGUCCAUUUAAUCCGAACGGAGGGAGUAUUUGUUCUAGAAGAAUCAUAUAUAUCAGAUGUAAAAAGAAGAAUGUGUUUUGAAACAUAAAUACAUGUAAAGAAUUUCACUGUCAUGUACAAUCUCUUGAAGUACUCCGGUAUGUGAAUGAGAUAAUAUAUUGUUAAAAGUGAAAUGUGUUAGAGACAAGCGACUAAUUGAUUGUAUGGUUCCAGUGAUCUGUUAUUAAUGUAAUCUUAUAGAAUUAUGCAUAAACACAAAUUAAACCUUUUUUGUAGUUGCUUAGCCCACCUGUAGUGAAUGAUAGUCUAUACACCUUGUUUUAGAAAGGUUUGGUGUUGGGUUUUGUAAGAUGUCAUUAUAGGCGCUCCUUGUAUAUUACUUACGACAGUGUUGCUGUCAGGUAUCAAGCUGCAUCGAGCCAUUGCAGAGAAACAACCUAAGUUAUGGAAAAAUACUUGAAUAUUAGGUAUAACAUAAGUGAGGGAUCUGUUCAAGUGCUGUAGAAUACAAACA